UACAGAGGUCCCAAGCGUUGUUCGGAUUCACUGGGCGUAAAGGGUGCGUAGGUGGCCAGGUAAGUUUGGUGUGAAAGCUCGGAGCUUAACUCCGAAAAGUCAUUGAAUACUAUCUGGCUGGAGGGUCGGAGGGGAGACUGGAAGUUCUCGGUGUAGCAGUGAAAUGACGUAGAUAUCGAGAGGAACACCAGUGGCGAAGGCGAGUCUCUGGACGACUCCUGACACUGAGGCACGAAAG
rnacentral:rRNA from 1 species